CCUACCUAUCCCAUACCCUUUCUGCUCUCCAGGGAGGGUGAGACCUUCCAUAGAGACCCCGAAGUAGUGGUAAUUCUCAUGAAGAUUUAUAAUGAAAAGGAGAAAGCAGGGUAAAUAACAAAAGGUAAAAAAUGAGAAGAAAAAGAGCACCAGGAUAUGGAAUGGAGCUAAGCCCUGUGUUCAAGGAGUUAAAUGGAUUAAGAAAUGGAAUAUAGGAAAUGGUGACUUCAGGGCAAGAUCCCACCCAGCUACAUUUCCAACUUGUGAAGAGGAACUAAAGAAAAUCUUAGAGCUAGGUGUGGUGGGGGCACACCUUUAAUCCCAACACUGGGAAGGCAGAGGCUAAUGGAUCUCUGAGUUUGAAGCCAGCCUGGUCUACAGAACAAGUUUCAGGACAGCCAAGCUUAGACAGUGAAAGACAGAAAGAUGGAGAAGAUGUAAUGGAGGCCUAGUAAAGAAAUCAUUGUGUGAAGCUGUGAAGUUGAAACCUGGAUUUCCUCAGAGAACCUCAGAUGUUAGAGAUGCCAGAGCCAUGGGAUACCUGCCUAGGAAAACUCUGAACAGGGAGUGGCACCAGCCCCAGAGCAAGUAGUGUGUUACAGUCAACAAAGCUGAAUGGAGCUGGAGAUGUGGAGAACGUUUUGACAUCAGACAUGGAGAUGCAGAGUUUGCCCAGAUGGUUUUUGGUCUUUCUUUGGUCCAGUAUUUCCUCAUCAUGUUCCCUUCCCUGUGUUUUGCCAUUAUAUGUUAGAACUAUGUAAUCUGCUUUUGAUUUUGAUUUUUAUAUGUGUUUACAGUUAAGAGAUUGCAUGAGUCUCAGAAGAGACUUUGGACUUUAAAACAUUGUUGAGAUAGUGUGAUAAGACUAUGGGGACUUUUGAAGUUGAACUAAACAAAUUUUGCAUUAUGAUACUGCUAUAAGCUUAUGGGGAAACAGGGAGUGGAAUGUGGUAGUUUUAAUGUAAUUGGCCCCAAUAAUCUCACAGGGAGUGGCAUUAUUAGGAGGUAUAGCUUUGUUGGAAUAGGUAUGGCCUUGUUGGAGGAAGUGUGUCACUGUGGGGACAGGCUUCAAGGUUUCCUAUGCUCAGGAUACAGCUGAGUGAAUCAGUUGACUUCCUGUUGCGUGCAAGAUGUAGGAUUCUCAGCUACUCCAAUACCACACCUGCCUGCAGGCCGCCAUGCUCCCUGUCCUGAUGGUAAUGGACUGAACCUCUGAAACUCUUAAGUGAGCCACCCCAAUUAAUUAUUUAUAUUUGUUUCUAUGGUCAUGAUGUCUCUUCAAGCAAUAAAAGCCCUAAUGCAGAUAGAAUAUCCUAGUGGCAUAUCACUGUGACAGACCUGACCCUGUUCUGGGGAAGAUUGUGGAAGGACUUUGGAACUUUGGGCUAGAAGAGCCAUUGAGUGUUAAUAGCUCUAUUUGGUGUUCUGUGGAAUUUGGAAGAUAAGAAUGUUAGGAACAGUGCAGAAGAUGGAGGUCUGGCUUGUGACAAUCUCAGAGGGAAGAUAAAAGACUCUUGUCAGGGCUGUUUGCUAUUUUGAAUUAAGAUCUGUGGUUCUGGUUAGCUGGGGCUGAAGAAUCAGCUGUGAUUAACAAGAUACCAGAACUACUAAAGCUAAACUUUGCUUUGCUGCAAUAGUUGAUGCUGCUCGGCUGGAGCUAAGAAAUUAGUGGUGAUUAAGAAGAAACCAGCAUCACUGAGGUAAAAUCUUCUGUGAAGUGUUUCCUGAGAGCACGAAGAAGCCGUGUUCCAGAGGUGGCCAAGGUUGUACCUCGUGCUGGCAGCCAGACUUGGUAAUGUGUAAGAGUCACCCAGGUGGUACUGGUUUUGAAGGCAUGAAGGGGUCAUGGAGAACAGCUGAGGCUUGUCACCAUGAGGAGAGCCUAUGAGAGGCUAUCGGUGAAAGUGCAGCCCAGCAGCAGCAAGGGACACCAACAUUUCAGAGAUGCCAGUGCCAUGGUAUGACCACCAAGAACAGCAGCAGCAGUAGAGUAGAACCAACUGGGGUUUAGAAAGACAAGCUGCGUGUGCCAAAGAUAGCAGAGCCAGAGAAGUUACCCAAACUCUUUGCAAGAAUCCAGAAGAUGGUGAGUGGCACCCAGCUACUUGGAUAUUGAGUUAUUUGUACUCUUAGAGUUUGGUUUUGCUUGGUUCAAAUUGUGACAGUGCCCUAGUUCUUCCCUCUUGAAGAAGGUAUUUAAUUUAAUUUUGAUUUCUAAAGGAGCCCACAGAUGAAAGAUUUGAAUUUUGGAAAGAGAUUGGAUAUUUUGUUUGUUCUUUGUUUGGUGGUUUGUUUUUGUUUUUUUGGUUUUUGGCUUUUCAAGACAGGAUUCUCUAUGUAACAGUCCCAGCUGUCCUGCAACUCAUUCUGUAGACUAGGCUGGCCUCAAACUCAUAGAGGUCUGCCUCUGCCUGAGUGCUGGAAUUAAGGGUGUGUGCCACCACUGCCCAGCUGAGAUUGGGUAUUUUUGUUGUUGUUGUUGUUUUGUUUUUUUGUUUUUCGAGACAGGGUUUCUCUGUGGCUUUGGAGGCUGUCCUGGAACUAGCUCUUGUAGACCAGGCUGGUUUCCAACUCACAGAGAUCCACCUGCCUCUGCCUCCUGAGUGCUGGGAUUAAAGGUGUACGCCACCAACGCCUGGCUGAGAUUGAGUAUUUUAAAGAGACUGAAAUUUUAAAGACUGUGGGACUUUUAAAUUUUAUGAUUUUAAAAUGAGAUCUUGGGGAUAAAUAAGAAAGGAAGGGAUAUCACUUAAUAGUGAUGUGUUUGUGUGUCAAGUUGACAAGUUGUAGUGGAUGGUUUUGUUUGUCAGCUUGACACAAACUAGAGUCAUCCGAGGAGGGAGCCGCAGCUGAGGAAAUGCCUCCAUGAGAUCCAGCUGUAAAGCAUAUUAUCAUUAGCAUAUUAUCAAUGGAGAAGGACCCAGCCCAUGGUGGGUGAUGCCAUCUCUCGGAUGUUGGUCCUGGAUUCUAUAAGAAGGUGGAUUGAGCAAGCCAUGGGGAGCAAGCCAGUAAGCAGUUCCUCUCUGUGGCCUCUGCAUCAGCUCCUGCUUCAGGGAUCCUGCCCUGUUGGAGUUCCAUCUUUAUUUCCUUCAGUGAUGAACACCAAUGCUGAAGUGUAAGCCUAAUAAACCCUUUCCUUCCCCAACUUGCUUUUUGGUCAUAGUGUUUCAUUGCAACAACAGGAACCCUAACUAAGACAAAAGGAUUCUGGAUUUGGUUGUGAAAUAGUACCAGUAGUAGAGUUUAUGUCUGCACUUUUCUUAUUUGUGGUGUUACUUUCAGAUUUGAAACAUUUAUUAUUUACUACUGAACUUGCAUCCAGCAGGCUCACCUGGGGAGACAGGAAAGGAAGUAUAGUUGGCUGUUGUUAGCCUUCUGGCCUGGGCAGGAAGUGAUGUGCAUCUACCCUCGUCCUUGCAGCAGUGUGGAAGUGUUAACCGUUGAUAUGGUGGGAAUUCCGAGCCCAGCAUUUCUCAAAGUUGACCACCGGGUGUGAGGACCUGUAAAACCCAGUGCUCACAGCAUCUCUACAUUGGUGUAGAAAUAUAAAUCUACUUGUGACUCUUAUGCAAAAUGAAGUAAAUUUCACAGUAAGUGUAACCAAAGUAUAACACUAGUGAGCAUUACAGUUAAAAUACUAAUUGAGGGGCUGAGGGUGUCCACAAUUGGUGGUAUAUCUGGCAUAUUUGAGGCCCUUUUUAAAAUUUAUACACUGCAAUGAGUAAAUUCCAAUUAAAUAUAAUUUCUAUAAGCAGAACAACUGCUUUUAAGCCUAGUCCUAGGAAGAAGUUACCUGUCAUGUAAGUCUAAAUUAAGCUCAUGUGUUUGUGUGUGCAUGCAUGUGUAUAUUUAUGUGGGCACACACAUUAUUUGAGUGGUGAGUAUUUACAUGUGUGCAUGUGAAGGGCAGAAAAGAGCCUCAGGUGUCGUUCUUCAGGGAUAAUUUACAUUGUUUUCUGACAGUGUCUCUCACUGGCCUGAAAGUUGAGACAAGUAAGCAAGACUGACCAUCCAGGAAGCCCAGGGACCCCUUGUCUCUACCUCCAAACUGCUGACAUCUCGAGUGGUUCCACCAUUUCUGACUUUUUAAAACAAAGAGCUUUAGGGAUUGAACUCAUGUCCUCAUGCUUGCAAAGGAAACACUUGAACCAGCUGAGUAGUCUCCCUUGCCCUUUAAAUUUGUUUAUUUUAAAAUAAAAACAUAGAACAGAGAGUGCCUAUUUCCAUCAGUAGAAGUUAUGAAUGUUAUAAAUAAUAACUGUCAAAGCUUUUGGAGAAAAUCAGGAGUAAACGAGCACCCCAUUGUGUGUCCUGGACGCCAGCCAUUCUCAACCCCUGCUGUAUGGAGGUGGGGUGCCAGCAGCCACUGACUCCCCCUGCUGUAUGAAGGUGGGGUGCCAGCAGCCUCUGACAACCCCUGUGGUCCCUUCACUUACAUGGCUUGUUCUCAGUCUUGGCAGUGUAUUCUUCUGUAAUCUGUAUUAUUUCUUUACUUCAAAAAAGCUAUCUCACUACUUUUGAAAGUCAAUGUGAGUCCUUAUUUUUAAUUCUUCAGAUAAAAGGCCUAGAACCUGGAAACACUGGACCUGAGCCCUUACCAACCACUAUUCUGCUAAGUGUCAACUUAAUUAUAAGUUGUUACAUGAUGAUCAGAGUCAUGUUAAAUCUACUGCUAAGGAUGAAGUGACCCCACAAUAAUGAAGGUAUUCAUUAAAAGGAAAUUACUGAUGCUUAAAGGGUAUAUAUAUCUCCAGGCCUGGACCAAUUAUGAGAAAGCAUGCUUUGUAGAGAGAAGGAGGGAAAGAGGGAGAUGGAGGGACACUGGGACAGUAGACAGAGUCAAGUAGCAAUAAGUGUUUCUUUCUCUGUGACAGUUCAGUGCUGAGCCCUCCGUUUUCUUUUAAAACCUCAAACUUAUUCACAUUUGACUCUUAAACUACAGGAAGUAUUGCCUAUUAAAAUUUCCUGAGAUGUUGAGAUUACUUAUCAGUUUCUACUUCUCCCCGUACUCAGAAGCCCUUGACCCUGUCUUAAGAUGUUCAAAGUCAGCCACAUGAAGCAGAAUUUGUUUGUGGGGGUGGGGCAGACUAUGUGCUUGGCUGGGUGCAGUGACAGAAAGGCCUGUCCUUCUCCUUGUUCCAUCAGAAUUCACAUCUGUUAGCCUCCAGGGCAGCACACUCAAACCAUCUGCUUGACUGGUAUUUUCUGUAUGGGGGGAGUGGAAGUUGGGUGAAAGGGACAGAGAGGGUACCCCAAGGCCUCCUGGGAUUCUCAGAAGCAUCCAGCUUUGAUUGGUCUAGAUCAUCCAUGGCAGAGACACUCUGUCCUUUUUUUUUUUUUUUUUUUUUUUUUUAAGACACAGAUACAGGUGAAUGGCAUGCUAUGGGUUACUAGAACAAAGCUAAGUAGUUUUCUUUCUCUUGGAAUUUUGUGACAGAUUUUUAAUUUUUUUAUUUUAAACUUCAUUAUAAAAAAAUUUCAAAUAAAGAAACAUUGAACAAUGAAGUUAACCAUACACAAAGACUAUACAACUAUGCAGUUAGACUAGCCAUUUAACAUGGAAUCUGUGGAGCUUUACAUUGGACAUUUUUGUUUUAACAUUUUUUUUAUUUUUUAGAAUUAAAAUAUAAUUACACCAUUUUUACCUUUCCUUUCCCCUCUUGUUUUCCCUCAAAUUCAUGGCCUCCUUUUCUUUAAUUGCUUACACACACACACACACACACACACACACACACACACACACACACGUGUUCACGAAAUCUUGCUCCAUGGAAUGUUGAUUUUAUGUGUAUGAUUUCAGGCCCGACUUCAUGGUAUUGGAUAACCAAUUGGUGGAAACACUUAUUUCUCCCCACUCUCAACAUUCCUUAGUUGCCUGUAGUUCUUGGUCUAGGAUUGAAGCCCCAUGAGAUUUACCCAUUCUAUGUUAAUGUGUCUAUUGGUGCUGUCAUUGUUCUGGUCUUGUUUAGGCUGCCAUGUUGAUUCAGGGAUCAUCUCAGAAAGAUUGUAAAAGCCAAAGGAACAGGAAGUUUUUGCUGUGAUGAUGUGUCUCUUAGGGAUGCCACAUUAGAUUUUGCACUUUUACUAUAAAAUAUAUUUUAUGUAAUUAUGCACCACCAAAACCAGAAAGUCCACGACAGUUAAAAACAAUUAGCUUUAUGUUCUUUCAUAACAUGUUCAUUGCCUGAAUUCAGUCCUUCCUCAUACCCCACUAUUUAGCUUUUCUUGCUCUCCUUUUAUGUUAUAUUGUACCCACUUGAACAUAAUCUACAACACUGUUAUAUAUACAGCUGUGAUGAAGAUUAAGGAAACAGUUUAGAAAUUUAUACAUGUAUGAUUUUUGUCAUGUAUUGAUCUCACACACACACACACACACACACACACACACACACACACACACACACGCAAAACUUGUAUCUGCAGUGUUCAAAUCACAUAGUAGAAAAAGCUCAAAUAACUCUUGGCUCAAACAGCCAACAUGACCCAUAAUUGAGGGGAAGAAAAAUACAUUUCUACAUUGAAAGAGACAUCAUUGUGUCCCUCUUGCACAACUGAGUUCUCUUUGUGGGUGCAGGGCUAGUACAGAAAAUAACCUGCCUACUAAUUUAUACUUAUGACCUUCCAUUCUGCCUACACACUAGAGUCACUUGGGAAAUUAAAUAAGUGUGAUUAGGUCUCAGCCCUGGAGACUUGGAUUUAAUUGGCCCAGGAAUAGAAUCCAACGACUUUCAUGGUUUGAAAUCCCCCGUUCCUCUCAUCCCAGGUGAUUUUAAUGUGUAGAAAUGUUGAGGACCACUGAUGUGAAGAGAAUGUGAUAUUCUUGUGAAGUUGCUGAUUACCUGACUUCAGAAAUUAAUAUUCAAAAGAAUCCCUUAGGUUGACAGAAAGUACAUCCAAGAAAGGAUUUUAUUUUUUGAAAGCAUGACUCAUUAAAGGAAAACAGUCAUACAGGUGGGCUUCUCACCACCAGGACGUGACAUCGUCGUGGACCUUAUCCUUUGCUGGACUGGGCAGUUGUCCUGCGGCAGCACUCUGGCUUCUAAUUCUAUGUAAGUGCAUAUCUGAGUAAAGAGAAGCCCAGCAAGAAGUGCCAUGUCCCUGGAUGUCCCUUUCUGUUCCCAAGACUUAUGCCAAGUCAAAAGUAUGAUGAAACUAGCUAAGAUCAAUGUGUUUGAGGAAAGGCUGGCUAGAGAGCAACCGACUCUUUUUCAUGCAUCCUGGGGUUUGGGGCAGAGUAGUGUAACAAUUCAUAACACAACCAUGGGACUUAAAGAAAAUGAAAUAUAAAAACCACAAGCACUUUUAAAAAUGUAAAUAUUUCAGGAACUCAAGACAAUAAUGCAAUUUGUUUUAUAUCUUAACAUUUUCACUGGAGUUAACCAAGUGCAUCUCUCUUUUAACCAAACAAAAUCAUGUCUUUGAAUUAACGUAAGGAGGCUUUCCCCGAGGCUUGAAGUGUAGCCUCAUGACAGCAUGGGCUUGGCAUGCAUGUGCCCUGCUUCAGAACCCCAGCACCAAAGAGAAAAGUAAAAAAAAAAAGUGAACAGGGAAGAAACCCUUAUUAAAGGGUUGUCAGUGAAGCCAUUUGAAUACCGUGGCAAACCUUGGGGGUUGUGGUUUCCAGAUUUUAGAGUGACUUGAUUGACACCACAUUAUCACAGCCGGUGCCAUGGCAACAGCACUUUAUAGGAGAAGCUACUGGCUUAACAAGCUUUAAAAACUGAAGGAUUAGGGUUAAAUGUUAAUUUUCAUUGAUAGUCUGGGAUCUUGUAGGUUUACAGAGUUCUAUCCAUUGCUGAUGGUGUGCCAAAUCCUGGACCAAAUGCAUCACUUGUGUUAGCUCACUUGACCUCCACGGUGGCCCCUAAGGUGCUUGCACUUACCCAGAGCUCAUUGUGGAGUGCUUUCUCAAGGUCACAAUGUUGGUAAGUAGUGUAAAGUGCUUAUCUCAGAAGUUCCCAGACUUUUCUGGUUCCCUUAAUGCUUAGAAUGUUUUCACAGUUUCCAUCUCAGAAGUCCUCAGACACUUCUGCUUUCCAAGGCUCUUCCUGCGACAGUGAUGCUUUCCUAAGGGCACACAGGCCAAAUGAAGUAGUUACCACUCCCACUUGUUAAGGAGUUAGUCCCACACAACAUUAUAAGUACAUCUGGCUUCACAGCUCAGUAGUCUUUUGAAACGUUAACGCACAUGAAAGAAAUGUCAAAUCUCAUUCUCAAAUGACCACCGUUACUCAUUGGAGGGGCGGGGUACACCCAUUGAGUACGCCCAGCUUCUGGAACCUGGAGUCUAAUUGAAUGGCGCUGUCCUCAUUUCCUAUUACAACUGAGUUUUGUGCAGAAUCUGCUUUUUAGCAGUGUGGCUGCCAAAGCUUUGCUUUACAAAGACAUGACAUUAACAAAAGGAGUGGAGUGAUCUAGUGCUGAAGCUUUGAACUGCUGUGAGCUGGUUGUUCACACAUUGUCUGACACCUGUCAAGCACCGUGCCUUUUCCUUUUUAAAAAGGUAGUUAGAAGUUGGGAACGGCAGGUCUGUCUGCUUCCCUCCACUGGGCUGUGAGCCUGUAGAUAGACCAGCAGUCAGGUUCUUGUUUGCAUGUGUCCGUACUUUUCCUUUCAAACAUAACUUUCCAGGUGAAAGCACAGAUUUGAACUCUUCCCAGACUCUUCUGGACCUCCCAGGGAUGACUUUCUUCUCAAAGCUUGUGGAUUCCAGUUUUCUAUUUCCACCUUAAAGGCUCAAAGUGGUCUUCAAGGACCAUGGAACCCAGAGCCUCAUUGCCACUGGUUGUGUCAGCAAAGCCAGACUCAGGCAAAACUGUCUUUACAAAUCCUGGUGCCCACAGUGAUCUACACAGCUGUCCUGAAAGCAGUGGUUUCAGUGGUCCCAUUCAGUGCUUGCCUCCAUUUUAGCAAAUGUGUAUGAAGGGGGUAAAAAGGAGUUCACAGUCAGGACAGAGGAACAUUUGCAGGAGCAAAUGCUCCUGUGGUAUUUUUCUCAAGCCUUUUAUUUUAUUUUUUUUUCAUUCUGGGGGCAGGGCUGAAAUCAACCCCCACUUAUUUCUCUUUGAAACAGUGCUGCUCAUUCCAUCUCCCAGCAGUGCAGUCCUCAUUGAGACUCAGUUGGCAAGUCUGCUGGCUUCCUUAACAUCACUGAUGCAGGUGACACCAGACUAACAAAUAUGUCAAUGGAAAGCAUUUGGCAUUCUUGCUUAACCAUUCCUAGGUACUUAAGCAGAUAUGACCACAUACAUGAGGACAAAAGAUAUAUUAACCACAGUAUUUUUUCAAUGAUAUAACACUAAAAUCACCUAUCUAUGUGUAUUCUAAGAACAAAUUGUUCAGUUAUGACGUAUUCAUUCAUACAUUAGGCAGUCUUUAAAAGCAAGGGCCAGAAGACUUUCUCAGUAAAGGAUGGAUGGUAAAUAUUUUACCCUUCUCAGAUCAUACCACCUCUGUUAUAAUUACUCAACUAUGGUAUGGUAGCACAAAAGCAUUUGCAGACAAUGUGUUGAAGACUAUAUCAGAAUAUGUUCUAGUAAGAUUUUUUUCCUAAAAAGGUUACUCUCUCUCUCUCUCUCUCUCUCUCUCUCUCUCUCUCUCUCUCUCUCUCUCUCCCUCUCUCUCUCUCCCUCUCUCUCUCUCUCUCU
ensembl:lncRNA